rnacentral:rRNA from 1 species
UACGUAGGCAGCAAGCGUUGUUCGGAAUUACUGGGCGUAAAGAGUGUGUAGGCGGUGCUCUAAGUUCGGUGUGAAAUCUCCCGGCUCAACUGGGAGGGUGCGCCGAAAACUGGAGUGCUGGAGCGCGGGAGAGAAAAGCGGAAUUCCUGGUGUAGCGGUGAAAUGCGUAGAUAUCAGGAGGAACACCGGCGGUGUAGACGGCUUUCUGGACCGUAGCUGACGCUGAGACACGAAAGCGUGGGUAGCAAACAGG